rnacentral:misc_RNA from 1 species
UACGGAGGGUCCAAGCGUUGUCCGGAAUUAUUGGGUGUAAAGGGUCCGCAGGCGGGAUCGUAAGUCGGAGGUGAAAGCCCUCGGCUCAACCGAGGAAGUGCCUUCGAUACUACGGUCCUUGAGUCCCGGAGAGGCCACUGGAAUUCGUGGUGUAGCGGUGAAAUGCGUAGAUAUCACGAGGAACACCAGAAGCGAAAGCGGGUGGCUAGACGGGAACUGACGCUCAGGGACGAAAGCGUGGGGAGCAAACAGG